GAUACUCUUUUAUUCAUUGAUAUGCUAUAAGACAGCUUUUGUACACAUAAAAUGCUUUUAAUAAUACUGGUUCUGCUUCAAGGGUUUAAACAAUAUUAAAAGGGAAGCAAAUGCAAUGUUUACAUCAUUCAUUACAUGUUGACCAUGAUCGACCUCCAGACUGGACUCUGAGUGUGCAGGUGUACAGUACUUCUGUUGCAAUCACAAUACAGCUGCAUACAAAAGAGAAGUGUGCCUUUGGUGAGAGGAUGAAGAGAAAGGAAAACGACAUUCUUAAACUUAGUCCUCUCAUCCAAACCUUUACCUUAAAAUUCACACAACAGCGAACCGUUUCCCCUCAAGCAUUGAAAUGGCAAAAGUUCAACAGACGGGUGUAAUAUUGAGUGGAAUCUGCCCUUAAACAAUGAAGCUGGGGAUCCUCAUGAAGACAGUGAAAACCAUCUCUGGUUUGUACAGCACAGUUUGAGGAAGCAACAGACCAUGGACUUACCAAAGACUUUAGAAGAGUUUAUGAACACACUUGUCUUGUGAAAUCUUUUCCUCAUUCUCAGUGGUGAUUCUCAUUACUAUAAAUAUUGUAAUAAAUGUACUU